rnacentral:rRNA from 1 species
UUGCAAUAGAAUUUAAUUUUGGUUCCGAUUGAACGUUAUUCAGUAGUUUUAAGACAUGCAAAUCUUUUUUAGUUUCAAAUCUAACAAGGUGUAGAGGUGAGUAGGUAUAUUAGAUACCCUAAAGUUUUCAGAAAUAGGGAAUAUAGAAAGAGAUAAAUCUCGCUUUAGGAUUUUAAUAUAUGGCGACUAGGUAGUUGGUGGGCUAAUGCUUACCAAGCCCAAGAUGGCUAGCCAGGCUUGAAAGAGCAAAUGGCCACAUUGGGGAUGAGAUGGCCCCGAGUAGUUUUAUACUAGCAGCAGUGGAGAAUAUUUGUCAAUGCUCGCAAGAGUGAACGAGCUAACUGAAAGAAUAAAUAAUCUAACCUAAGGAGAUAUGAUAUAGCCUUAGUAACAGUGUCGUCCAAAAUCUGGUGCCAGCAGACUCGGUAAUACCAGAGACGCAAACGUUAGUCAUCUUAAAUCGGCAUAAAGGGUGCGCAGGCAGCUUCUUAACUUUGAAGCUAGAAUCUAAUAGAGGUUGAUUAAAUGAUUAGUGAAAGGAUGAUAUUUUUAGAUACUAAGUAGAAAACUAAAGGCGAAGGCCGUCUUCCAUUACAGAUUGACGCUGAGGCACGAAAGUUAGGGAAGGAAAAAAGAUUAGAGACCUUUGUACUCCUAACUGUAAACGAUGAAUGUUAGAUGUUCUCAAAAGAAAGUAUCGAAGUGAAAUACGUUAAACAUUCCGCCUUGCCAGUAUACUUGCAAAAGUGAAAACAAAAAAAUUAGUCGGUUCUAAAGCAAACGAAGUGAAGCAUGAUGUUUAAUUCGACAGUCCGCGAAAAAUCUUACCACGCCUUGAAUAGCGAUUUAUUUUUUUAAGUAUAUAUAAUUACUUAUUAUAUAAUUCUUGCAUUAGAAAGAAGGAUUAUUUUGCCUUUAAGGUAUAAUAAGAUAUAUUAUAUUGCAUACAGGUGUUACAUAGCUGUCUUCAGUUCGUGGCGUAAGCUGUUAGGUUAGUUCCGAUAACGAACGCAAUCCCUACCAUUAAUUUUUACUUAAUGGAUAAUUUUUGAUAUAAAAAUUAUUUGGGCCCAAGACAAGUCCUUAUGACCCGAAUGGUGUGGGCUACAGUCGUGCCACGAAAGUCUAAACAAAGUGAAGCAAAACUGAAAAGAAGAGCUAAUCAUCAAAAUAGACUAAAGACGGAUUGUUACCUGCAACUCGGUAGCAUGAAGGAGGAAUUUCGAGUAAUCGUUGAUUAGUACGCAACGGUGAACUUUUAAUUUGGAAUGAACUAAUUGUCCGUCAACGUACGAAAGCUAGUUAAUAAGGAAGAUCUAUUAUAAUAUAUUAUUUUUGAAAGCCCUAGGUAAUUAUGAUGUUUAUAACAUUAAUUUUUUAGUUUUUUUAGCAUGUUUUAUGUUAACGUCUAAUUUCGAAUAGUAUAUUUGUGUUUCCAAUUAUUGAUAGUAAUUGAACGUAAGUCCUAGCAGACUAGCCGUAGUGGAAGCUGUGGCUGUAGUAUUAAUUUA